AUCGCAUUGAACAUGUCCUAAUGUUUCACAAUGAGAAGUGAAGCACUUCCUCUUACUUAAAAAGAAAAAUAUUUGAUUUUUACAGGAUGCCUGACACUAAUGCUUACUAUUCUGCUAUCUAUGAUGUCUUCACUUAUGGAUAUAUUUAUUAACAAGUACUUAUUAGCUAUUUAACAUUUCCUCUACUGAGUGUUAUUAAUUACAGAUGCUGUAUUAGUUUCCUAAGGCUGCUGUAACAAAUUACCACAAACGUGGUGACUUAAAACAACAGAAAUUUAUUCUCUCACGGUUCUGGAGGCCAGAAGUUCAAAAUACAGCUGGGACCAAAGGCAUCUCUAAGGAAGGAUACAGUCCUUGCCUCUUCCAGGGUUCUGUGCCUCCUGUUGGAAUGAGCUCACUAACCAGUGGAAACAAACUGUUUAUCCUUCUAUGAUGUUGCAACUGCCUGGGCUUUCUAAUGCGUCUUCAGAUUUCGGUUUGUACUCAGAACAAGUGAGAAAAGUUUUACAGCAACUCCACGAAACAAAGCAGACAGGCUCUCCUGAAGCCAAGGAGUUAUGAAAAAGGCAGGCAUCGCGCAUUGAAUCAAGUAUGCCAUUACCCUCACUCCCAUGAACCUGUCUUUCAGCACAAUCCAUGACAGCAAGAAGACAAAGGCUUUGUUACAACAGAACAGAGCGGAGACAUCCGUGGCCGUCAGCUUCUUUA
rnacentral:lncRNA from 10 species